AGUGAACGCUGGCGGUAGGCCUAACACAUGCAAUUCGAACGGCAGCACAGUAAGAGCUUGCUCUUACGGGUGGCGAGUGGCGGACGAGUGAGGAAUACAUCGGAAUCUACUUUUUCGUGGGGGAUAACGUAGGGAAACUUACGCUAAUACCGCAUACGACCUACGGGUGAAAGCAGGGGAUCUUCGGACCUUGCGCGAUUGAAUGAGCCGAUGUCGGAUUAGCUAGUUGGCGGGGUAAAGGCCCACCAAGGCGACGAUCCGUAGCUGGUCUGAGAGGAUGAUCAGCCACACUGGAACUGAGACACGGUCCAGACUCCUACGGGAGGCAGCAGUGGGGAAUAUUGGACAAUGGGCGCAAGCCUGAUCCAGCCAUACCGCGUGGGUGAAGAAGGCCUUCGGGUUGUAAAGCCCUUUUGUUGGGAAAGAAAAGCAGCAGGUUAAUACCCCGCUGUUCUGACGGUACCCAAAGAAUAAGCACCGGCUAACUUCGUG
rnacentral:rRNA from 1 species